UGGGGGAUAUUGCACAAUGGGCGAAAGCCUGAUGCAGCGACGCCGCGUGGGGGAUGAAGGCUUUCGGGUUGUAAACCUCUUUCGCUAUCGAACAAGGCCCGCUUAGGGUGGGUUGAGGGUAGGUGGAGAAGAAGCGCCGGCUAACUACGUGCCAGCAGCCGCGGUAAUACGUAGGGCGCGAGCGUUGUCCGGAAUUAUUGGGCGUAAAGGGCUUGUAGGCGGCUUGUUGCGCCUGCUGUGAAAACGCGGGGCUUAACUUCGGGCGUACAGGGGGUACGGGCAGGCUUGAGUGUGGUAGGGGUGACUGGAAUUCCAGGUGUAGCGGUGGAAUGCGCAGAUAUCUGGAGGAACACCGAUGGCGAAGGCAGGUCACUGGGCCAUUACUGACGCUGAGGAGCGAAAGCAUGGGUAGCGAACAGG
rnacentral:rRNA from 1 species